rnacentral:misc_RNA from 1 species
GCCAAUUAAAUUCACCCAUAAGACAUUAGGAUUAGGAACCUGGAUGAAGUCAUAAAGAAAUUUCAAGUUGGAAUUUUAAGGUAUCACUUCAAACUUGGGCCUGAAAUGAUUAGGCCAUUUUUAAAAAAUUAGGCCUAAUUUACUGGAUCUGGCCUGGCCUAGAGCAAGCUUUGGGCUUUCAUUAAGAACUUUUCUCUCACCGGCUUACUUAGAUAGGCUUUCAGUGCGAACGUGCACUUCCAGUCUUCCAGUAUACAAAUCCACAAAAUUUAUCUAUAAUUUAAAAAAACAAAAAAU